rnacentral:rRNA from 1 species
CCUACGGGUGGCUGCAGUGGGGAAUAUUGGACAAUGGGCGAAAGCCUGAUCCAGCCAUGCCGCGUGUGUGAAGAAGGCCUUCGGGUUGUAAAGCACUUUCAGUGGGGAAGAAAGCCUUGGGGCUAAUACCCUCGAGAAAGGACAUCACCCACAGAAGAAGCACCGGCUAACUCCGUGCCAGCAGCCGCGGUAAUACGGAGGGUGCGAGCGUUAAUCGGAAUUACUGGGCGUAAAGCGCGCGUAGGCGGUCUGAUAAGCCGGUUGUGAAAGCCCCGGGCUCAACCUGGGAACGGCAUCCGGAACUGUCAGGCUAGAGUGCAGGAGAGGAAGGUAGAAUUCCCGGUGUAGCGGUGAAAUGCGUAGAGAUCGGGAGGAAUACCAGUGGCGAAGGCGGCCUUCUGGACUGACACUGACGCUGAGGUGCGAAAGCGUGGGUAGCAAACAGGAUUAGAUACCCGUGUAGUC